rnacentral:RNase_P_RNA from 1 species
CCAGACGGUCGGAUGGCCGCCUUUCGGCAAUGGGGAAACCCGCCGGGGGGAGGAAAGUCCGGGCUCCACGGAAACACGGUGCCGGUUAACGGCCGGCGGGGGCGACCCCAGGGAAAGUGCCACAGAGAGCAAACCGCCGUCUGUUUACAGGCGGUAAGGGUGAAAGGGUGCGGUAAGAGCGCACCGCGUUGCCGGUAACGGUGAUGGCAAGGUAAACCCCACCGGGAGCAAGACCGAAUAGGGACGGCACGCGAACGCAAGUUCGCAGGCGGGUUUCUGCGCUGCUGUCCGGGUAGGUCGCGACGAGGCGUCCGGCGACGGGCGCCCCAGAUGAAUGGCUAUCUAUCGUCCGGGUUUCGGCCCGGGCGGGGACAAAACCCGGCUUACAGACCGUCUGGACCU